GGCGGCGGCGCAAGGCGGCGGUAAGUUGCUGGACGCGCUCGCCGACUGCGGCCGAG
rnacentral:tRNA from 1 species